ensembl:snoRNA
CUACAGUGAUGGCAGUAUUUUUCAUCAACAUCAAUUCACCUAAAAAGUGUUGAUACUUUAGGUCUGAGUUA